ACCAGGGGCCAUGGUGUAAGGGAAGUGCUCACUGACAGUGGGGAGCCACUCUUUGUGCCUCCGUCCUGAACCACGACAACUGAGAAAGGUCAAUGUAUUAGAAGAUUCAUAGAUUGUCUUCCCAUCUUGGUGUGCCAGCAAAGAUGGCUGCCUCCAGUCAGGCUGCGCCUCCUAUUCUAUGACUCCCGGUUUGCCUGUUACACAUUCAGGAGCGGGGAGUGUAAUGGAAACAAUCUUGGGCCCCAGGGAGAGAGAGGAGGAACUCCGGAGUGGAAUAUUGCAACACACCAGCUUCUGCCUCAGCGGCUGCGGCUGGCCCUUGCUAAUGGGGAAUUACCUCUGGGUCCUUUCACGGAAAAAAAAAAAAAAAGUGAAGUUGUUCCCAGGCCGGGGAGAAAGACCAGAGCCGAGCUGAAGCAAGAGAAAAGAGGCACAAACGGGGUGGGAGGGGUCCCUGAGUCCUUCACUCUCCCAGCCCACUCACCCGAGUGAGUACACACUCACGUGGGAUGAAUGAACACUGCUAACACGGUAGAGAAAACGGAACUGGGAAACCAUCAUCUUCCUCAGCUCCCAAGAAACAGCUCAGCAACAAGUCUUUCUCCUUUGUCUGUUUCUUCUCAAGAAUUUGUCCCAUUUUUUCCCCCUCUUGUCCCUCAGAUUCUAUCCUCACAGACAAGGUUUAUACAUUUCCAAGCCUUUUCCCUCCACAUUGGCUUCGGAAACAAAAAUACACCAGGAGUCCCCAGACUCACCAGCUAUCCUCCAAAUCUGGCCCCUGGCUUGUUUUUUAUAAAUAAAGUU